GCUCAACCGGGGAGGGUCAUUGGAAACUGGGGAACUUGAGUGCAGAAGAGGAGAGUGGAAUUCCACGUGUAGCGGUGAAAUGCGUAGAGAUGUGGAGGAACACCGGUGGCGAAGGCGACUCUCUGGUCUGUAACUGACGCUGAGGCGCGAAAGCGUGGGGAGCGAACAGGAUUAGAUACCCUGGUAGUCCACGCCGUAAACGAUGAGUGCUAAGUGUUAGAGGGUUUCCGCCCUUUAGUGCCGCAGCAAACGCAUUAAGCACUCCGCCUGGGGAGUACGGUCGCAAGACUGAAACUCAAAGGAAUUGACGGGGGCCCGCACAAGCGGUGGAGCAUGUGGUUUAAUUCGAAGCAACGCGAAGAACCUUACCAGGUCUUGACAUCCUCUCGCCCUCCCUAGAGAUAGGGAUUUCCCUUCGGGGACGAAAGUGACAGGUGGUGCAUGGUUGUCGUCAGCUCGUGUCGUGAGAUGUUGGGUUAAGUCCCGCAACGAGCGCAACCCUUGAUCUUAGUUGCCAGCAUUCAGUUGGGCACUCUAAGGUGACUGCCGGUGACAAACCGGAGGAAGGUGGGGAUGACGUCAAAUCAUCAUGCCCCUUAUGACCUGGGCUACACACGUGCUACAAUGGGCAGAACAAAG
rnacentral:rRNA from 1 species